GAGCUCUAAAUAUAUAAAUGUGAUUUUUAAAAACUGUGUUUCCUCCAACAUUGUUGAGGAAUUUGUGUUGAAAUAAUUUUGCUUUUGAGAAACCAAUUUUAUAAAUAGCUGAAGUGGCUAGUUGUGUUUGGAAGUAAAUGCCUGUUGGAGAAAUAGGCUAACAAAGGGUGAAGGUGAAGAUCAUUAGAGGUUUUAGAGCUGGCUGAGACGGGUUGCUGGGGUUGUAUAACUGUGCCUGGAGGGCGGGGUUCCUGUACAUUCCUGCUUCACCAGAUAACCUGCCCCCAACACCACUGCAGCUUCUGCCAGACAGAUGGAACUCUCCAGCGUGAAAAUCUGCGCAGCCAUUCCACCAAGCAGGACUGCCUGGUGUUGGCCGAAGGAUGCUGAAGAAAAAGAUUUAAGGACUGGGACGCUCUUACCCCAAGAUUGGAUGAAGAUGGAAUCCAUUUCAGUCUGAAAUGUGUUUCAUGGCUGCAGUCGGGCAUUCCUCUGAUUUCUUGUUUCACUGGUUAGAUGGACGAUCCAUUCCGGCCCAACUCAAGUAUUCUAAUAAAGACUCCCUGGGUCUAAUAU